rnacentral:rRNA from 1 species
AUUGAACGCUAGCGGGAUGCUUUACACAUGCAAGUCGAACGAGUGGCGGACGGGUGAGUAAUAUAUCGGAACUUGCCCAGUAGCGGGGGAUAACUUCUCGAAAGCGUGGCUAAUACCGCCUACUUUUGGAGCGGCCCAUAUCGGAUUAGCUAGUUGGUGGGGUAAAGGCCAACCAAGGCAACGAUCCGUAGCUGGUUUGAGAGGACGACAAGCCAAACUGGGACUGAGACACGGCCCAGACUCCUACGGGAGGCAGCAGUGGGGAAUUUUGGACAAUGGGGGAAAGCCUGAUCCAGCCAUGCCGCGUGUAUGAGAAGGCCUUCGGGUUGUAAAGUACUGUUGGCAGAGAAGCGGUAUCUGCAGAAUAAGCACCGGCUAACUACGUGCCAGCCGCCGCGGUAAUAC